UGAAAGACAGAAUAAGGCUUUUAAAGGAUCAGUGUGUAACCAUUAGGGGGCUCUAUUGGCAGUAAUAGAAUAUCAUAUUAAUAAGUAUGUUUUCUUUAGUGUAUAAUCGCCUGA